ensembl:lncRNA
AUGCUCAUACAAUCUUUUUCUCUUUUGGCCUGUAACACUUAAAUCAGUUUAAAAAAAAAAGUAUUAAUGCAUGUAUAUUGAUAAACAAAAUCAGUUUAAAAAAAAAAAAAAAAUAUUAAUGCAUGUAUAUUGAUAAACAAAAUCAGUUUAAAAAAAAAAAAAAAAAAUUAUUUAUGCAUGUAUAUUGAUAAACAAAAUCAGUUAAAAAAAAAAAAGUAUUUAUGCAUGUAUAUUGAUAAACAAAAUCAGUAAAAAAAAAAAAAAAGUACAAUUUUUUUCUAUUUUGGCCUGUAACACUUCAAACACUUAAUGGCUCAUCUACAGUC